GCAGUUGUGGCCUAAUGGUUAGAGGCUCGGACUUGUAACCCGAUGGUGAACCUGAAGGUUCUGGGUUCGAGUCUCAGGUCCAGCA